CGCUUGUAAUUUAAUCUGCCAUUCCUCCCCUAAAGGGCUUGGCAAAAGUGUUGGGUUCGGUUCGUUCUUGUAACAACACUUUGUAGCGCUCAGAACUGAGUUCGUGUUGAAGUAGGAAAUCUUGCCGCGAGAUCUCUGUAUAAACAGAUGGAAUUACUAUUUCAUUGCAGCCAGACAUUGACCAGAGCCUACGGAAAUCCACAAAGAAAGGCAACCUUUGAAACUCCCCCGGUUGGUGCCAACCGAAGGAAGCCAGCCAUCACCCUGUUGAGUCGAUAAACAGUGCAUCUAAUUUAGAAAAACAGAUUGCGCAGCCACGCACAGCCACCAUGGACUAUCACAAACGGGGAUCCAUAGCUGCCAAUCUCCAAUGAAAUGGAGAGUCGAUGGUCCAAAAAGUCCAAAGAAGGGGAUCCGAGUUCCUUCUCUUUCCCCCUCCCCCGGAAGUGGUCAGAUAGAUCCAAGAAGGCUCAUGCCAGACCUAAGGUUCCUCCAAAGGACGGUCUGAAAGCAGCGGAGUGCAACUCCCAAUCCACCAGGGCGUUAGCCACCAGCGUCUGCCUAGGGACUGGCCGAGUAGGAAAGCCGUAGCCUACCUCCUCCCUGCCUCCCCCAGCUGCAGUCCCUCCCUUGCAGGCACAAUAAAAAAUGUAUUGCCUAGUCCUAGCAUGGUCCAGCCUUGGAAGGGCAGAGAAGGGCUGUAUGUCCCCUGGCCUUCCUUGGUGUUAGCCAUGGUUCCAAACAUUCCUUACCACUGAGGGUCAGCCAGGCACUGCCAGCCCGUGGUUUGGAUCAGAAGGGGAGCCAGGCACUGCCAGCCCGUGGUUUGGAUCAGAAGGGGAGCCAGGCACUGCCAGCCCGUGGUUUGGAUCAGAAGGGGAACCAGGCAAUGCCAGCCCGUGGUUUGGAUCAGUGGGGUAGCCAGACACUGACAGCCCGUGGGUUAGAUUCUAGGGGCUGCAAGGCAGUGCCAGCUUGUGGUUGGGAAUAGAAGGCAACCCAUGGAAAAUUUACUGGGCUUAGCAUGCAUUUUAUCAAUUAAUAUUAAUUAUUCAUAUUAAUAGGAUUAUUACUAUUAUUCUUCAUUAAUUAUUGAAGUCAGGUUUGUGGGGGGAAAGCAGCCCUGGAUUGUUGUUAUGAUUGUUUUCUCUGGCUUUUAUCACCCUUUGCAGGCAUUGUUCACGUUGAUUGCCUCGCUUAGAUAUGAUGUUGGGACAGCGCCUCCCUUGAAAUGGAAACAGAGGCCCUGAAUAAAGAAGGGGGGGAAAAAAAGUACUUUGUAGUCUGCAUCGUCCAUCUUUAAUUCAGAGACGCAUCUAUACUCCUGGGAGCGCUGCCUUUGAUCUCUUUGAUUUUUACACCAGAUCUGUUAUGGACUAAAAUUCCUAGGUUUUCCAUAGAAACAUCUCCAUUCCUUCGGGAUAUUGAUGUUUUCUUCUUCCUAGGGGUUAUGAUAUGUCACUUCAGCUGCCUUUCAGCGCCUUCAACUUUGGGAGAGGGGCAGCAGCUAGCAGCUAGCAGCAGCAGGUUGCGUUGCCAUGGGGACCCUACUGUAUGGCAGCAGCGCCAGGCCCGAAGACAAUGCCUUGCAAGGGGCUUGAAAAGUGAGGGUUCUCCCUUUGCCACGCCGCCACUUCCGAUGGAGCGAGCAUUCUCCUGUCGGGACCCUCGUCCUGUCACUAGAACAAUGGCUAUUUUCGCCUGCCAAUUUUUUUUUUCUCUCGCCGGCCUUUGAUCUAUUAAAAAAUCAAAAGAACAAAGUCUGGGGAGAAAGGGGGCUUUUGUGUUGAUGCACAAGAGAGGCUGUUAGAGUGUUGGUCUAUUUGUGAGUGUGUGUGUGUGUGUGUGUGUGUGUUGAUGCACAAGAGAGACUGUUAUAAUGUUGGUCUCUGUGUUCGUGUCUUGGGGUAAAGAGGUAGAGUAGUUAUCCUAGCGUGGGCUCUCCCUCGCCCCACCGACCCCGGGCGUGGCGUGUGCCAAACGCCCCCCUCCCUUUCUCCUCCUCCUCCUCCUCCCCAAGGCAGCCACGAAUGAAGGGCAGGGUUGCCCAGCGUUUAUCCUCUUUAUUGUCCCAUCACUCCCUUCAUUGCCAAACUCACGUGGCCGGUGAGGCCAGCAGACGUGCAAGGCCGAGUCGGCCGCUAGAUGGCGUUGAAGUGGACACCAUCCAGCUCCAAGAGAUAGGAAGGGGGGAGACGGGCUUAUUAGUUAUUAUUAAUCAUAAUAAUAUAGCUGAACUGAACUAAAUGUAUAUAUCGGUAGAAAUAAUGGCAUUCAUGUGAGAGACAUAUUUUCUGGGUAUUUGUAAUGUGUGAGGCAGAUUUAUGAGCUUUUCUAAUGAUAAAUCUGUGUAAUCUUCACAUGAAUAACCAUAAACAGAAGUUCCAGGAAUCUAGUUUAGCUUUGAAAGCAUGAUGUUCUGAGCUAUAUGAGCUCUUAAAAUAUAGAUUUAUUGGCUUUGGGGGUCUUUGAAGUGUGGUCAAUAAAACAAAAAAAGUUGGAGUGUCAAUAAAAAAUGUGCACAUAAAUAUUUUACAUCUCUUUUCUUCUGAAGGGACAAGAGGCCAUGCCAAAUGAGGGACAGAGGUGAAGCAACCCCAGCUGGGGAACUGGGAGCUCUGGAUCACUCUUGGUUUUCUCCAGAAACAUGAAACCAUUUAGGCCCUUUCCCCUUGCUUUAUACACUGAAGAAUAAGAUCGUCUUGAAAAUUAACAAGAUCCUUGUUAUUGUAAUUACUAAUUUCUUAUAUUGUGAUUACUAAUUUCAGCCAAUUUAAACCCUAUUUAACCUUAUGUAUUG